rnacentral:rRNA from 1 species
GCUUGCUCCUGGUGGCGAGUGGCGAACGGGUGAGUAAUAUAUCGGAACGUGCCCAGUAGUGGGGGAUAGCCCGGCGAAAGCCGGAUUAAUACCGCAUACGAUCUACGGAUGAAAGCGGGGGAUCGCAAGACCUCGCGCUAUUGGAGCGGCCGAUAUCUGAUUAGCUAGUUGGUGAGGUAAAGGCUCACCAAGGCGACGAUCAGUAGCUGGUCUGAGAGGACGACCAGCCACACUGAAACUGAGACACGGUCCAGACUCCUACGGGAGGCAGCAGUGGGGAAUUUUGGACAAUGGGGGAAACCCUGAUCCAGCAAUGCCGCGUGAGUGAAGAAGGCCUUCGGGUUGUAAAGCUCUUUUGUCAGGGAAGAAACGGUUCUGGCUAAUAUCCAGAGCUAAUGACGGUACCUGAAGAAUAAGCACCGGCUAACUACGUGCCAGCAGCCGCGGUAAUACGUAGGGUGCGAGCGUUAAUCGGAAUUACUGGGCGUAAAGAGUGCGUAGGCGGUUGUGCAAGACAGAUGUGAAAUCCCCGGGCUUAACCUGGGAAUUGCAUUUGUGACUGCACGGCUAGAGUGUGUCAGAGGGGGGUAGAAUUCCACGUGUAGCAGUGAAAUGCGUAGAGAUGUGGAGGAAUACCGAUGGCGAAGGCAGCCCCC